ensembl:ncRNA lncRNA:CR46009 long non-coding RNA:CR46009
ACAAUAUUCUCUUGGCUUUGAGAUUCGAAAUUGAAGGUGUUUUGGGAAUUUUGGUGGGGGAGAAUUUGCAUUUAGAUGAACCGAAGAAGCCAAGACAAGUAGGCCACAGUGAAAUGCUAAUGAGAAAGCGGGUAAUUCAGCAUGCAGUCGAUAAGGCGGCUGCCUUUGGCAAAAGUAUCCGCCAGAUACACGUGGCACGCACACCAGCUGACGCCCCAAAAAAUAGGUGAACAUAAUGCGAUCCGACCGACGAAAUCACAGUUGGCCACCAGAGGACACGCGCCACCUGAUCAGGAUGCGAUAUCUUUCUUCGGCAAUAUUUGAUCGUGCUGAAUGCGGAAAAAGCAGAUUGCAACUGCAGCUGACUUCGAAUGUGGACAAAGGGAUCUUCGGCAAACAAAGCAGCCACAGGAUAUGCGAUACAGCCACUUUUGCACAUUGCCCCGAUGAGUUAUGGACUCCAGAUUGCGGACCCGAAAAGGGCAGCUUCUUGACAGACAAAUGCGGGUGCAUAUCGAUUUCGACUUCGGAUCGGCCGGAACGAUGACUCCUUGGGCCGUGAUCUGCAUUUUUGCGUCCUUCUUGCCGCAUCGCGAAAGGUGCAAAACGAAGGACGAACGUGCCGCAAAAUCUGUGCGGCGACUUAGGUAUUUAAUUGGGUUUUGCGUUUCACUGUCGAUAUUCAAUAACAGCUGGCUCUCGGCUAAAUACACAAAUUAACCCAUUCAAACAAUGCCUUCUUGGAAAGUGUCAAAUUCAACCUCCGAUCAAGGACC